rnacentral:rRNA from 1 species
UACGGGGGGGGCAAGCGUUGUUCGGAAUUACUGGGCGUAAAGGGUCUGUAGGUGGCUUGCUAAGUCAGACGUGAAAUCCCUCGGCUUAACCGGGGAACUGCGUCUGAUACUGGAAGGCUUGAGUUCGGGAGAGGAAUGUGGAAUUCCAGGUGUAGCGGUGAAAUGCGUAGAUAUCUGGAGGAACACCGGUGGCGAAGGCGGCAUUCUGGACCGAAACUGACGCUGAGGCGCGAAAGCCAGGGGAGCAAACGGG